rnacentral:lncRNA from 1 species
UCAUUUCAGGAAUUGCUGGCUCCUCCUUCCAGUCUCUCUCCCCCAAGUUUUUCACCUCCUCAUCACCCAUCACCUCCUCCCAGUCCUUCACCUCCUCCCAGUCCUUCACCUCCUCCACGUCCUUCACCUCCUCCCAGUCCUUCACCUCCUCCCAGUCCUUCACCUCCUCCCAGUCCAUCACCUCCUCUCAGUCCAUCACCUGCUUGUAGUCUGGAUGUUGUCACCAUUCUCCGAGGUCUUAGGGAGACACUCAAACUCCUCCCCAACAGAGCUAAUCAAAUUAAUGCUCUGCGUGGGGAGGAGUUUGAUUGCGCAGCCCGAGCCUUCAGCAGAUCUAAUUUUGACCCAGAGUCAAAAUUAGAUGUCGUGUUUGUAGACGAUGAUGGUAUUGGAGAGGGGGCUGUGGAUGAAGGUGGUCCAACAAGGGAGUUCUGCCGCCUUCUCACCAGGCAGCUCCAAACACAUAGCAUUUUUGAAGGACCCCUGGAAAAAUGCACCUUGGCCCUAGAUAGUGUUGAUUGCCACAGCAACAACUCUUGAAGAGGCAAGAGAGGCAGUCAGUGACGCAUCAGAGGAACUGUCCCUGAUGGGUUCUCUGCGCUUCCUCAAAACUCUAGAGGAGAGGGAUGAACUGGUGACCGCUGUCCUGGGGUUCUACACUGAGGGUCGAGUCCAUGCUCCCCUUCAGCAGUAAGUGUACAUGGCAUAGGCCAAAUGGCUAGGUUGACUAUGGCCCCCUAAGGCAUAACAGCCUAGGAAUAUGCUGAAUGUACACAGAUAGUACACUUUUGUGCAAGUUUCAUCUGAAAAGAAAGAAAAAAUAUUUAAAUUAUAAAAACUGAAUAGUCCGCUUAAGAUUGUUCAUCCAUAAUAUAGUCCUCAUUAUUUAACCAUUGCACUGCCAGAGAAUAGAAUGAGGGCUAGGUGUUUACUACAUUGAGAUACUAGUUACCUAUGGGCUCAGUAAAACAGGACUUCUGCAUAAGUGAAACAGGGCAAAUGCACUGAAAACGGAUCAAAUACUAUUGUGGUUUGGGUGAUUUCAUAAUUAAUUAUUCUCUUGCAUGCUGAUUUCUAUCUUGUAUAUAUUGCUUGGUAACUUUAAUCAUUGAAUUACCAACAUUAGACUGAGAUAAUAAAAUUGGUGAAAUUACCCCUCAAAUUUUGAAAAAA